rnacentral:rRNA from 1 species
CCAAUAGCGUAUAUUAAAGUUGUUGCAGUUAAAAAGCUCGUAGUUGAAUUUCGGGAUUGGCGCAUCGGUCGUGCCUUACGGGGUAUGAACUGGUGCAGUCAAUUUCUCACCUUCUGGAGAACCGCGAUGUCCUUAAUUGGGUGCCGCGGGGAACCAGGACCUUUACUUUGCCAAAAUUAGAGUGUUUAAAGCAGGCAUUUUUGCUUGAAUACAUUAGCAUGGAAUAAUAAAAUAGGACGGCAUGGUUCUAUUUUGUUGGUUUCUAGGACCACCGUAAUGAUUAAUAGGGAUAGUUGGGGGCAUUAGUAUUCAAUUGUCAGAGGUGAAAUUCUUGGAUUUAUUGAAGACUAACUACUGCGAAAGCAUUUGCCAAGGAUGUUUUCAUUAAUCAAGAACGAAAGUUAGGGGAUCGAAGACGAUCAGAUACCGUCGUAGUCUUAACCAUAAACUAUGCCGACUAGGAAUCAGACGAUGUUAAUUUUUUAAUGACUCGUUUGGCACCUUACG